rnacentral:lncRNA from 1 species
CUGUGAUAGGACAUUUAUCUAACAAAGAAUGUGGUGAUACCAGAGUUGAUGUAAGUGGCCCAACUCCUUUGGCCAAAGAUACAGUCUUCAUUGUGAUUAAGUCAAAGUUAUGGGUAAACUGUGUUUCUCAGAGAGACAGAUAAUGUUGAAGUUUCCUUAGAAAGUGUGAGAGCAUCUAGGGUUCCUCAAGGAGAUGGAAUUAAGUGCACACUUUUGGUCUUACAGAUCACUAUGACUGAUCACAUGCUGGACCGCCAACAUAGGAGCUGGGUCAACCCAAACUCAUUCCCACCUCUGGAAAAACAGCUCAAGGCACUUCUGAUUCCAAGUCUGAGCCAACCUUCUUAUCCUGGCCUUUCUCUCAGCCUCCACCAUACCUCCCCCAGGUGGAGAAAGGAGAUGUGGAACAUGGGCACUUCCUUAGAGGUAAGUGAUGUCCUCUAGAAUUAAGAGAAGGAAUAAAGAACACAAUUUUAAACCUACCUUCGGUGAC